AGCGAACGCUAGCGGCGGGCCUAACACAUGCAAGUCGAGCGCGUACCUUCGGGUACGAGCGGCGGACGGGUGAGUAACACGUAGGUAAUCUACCCUUUGGUGGGGAAUAACCCGGGGAAACUCGGGCUAAUAACGCAUACGGCCUUCGGGUCAAAGCCUUCGGGCGCCAGAGGACGAGCCUGCGUCGCGUUACCUAGUUGGUAGGGUAACGGCCUAUCAAGGGGACGAUGCGUAGCUGGUCUGAGAGGAUGAUCAGCCACACUGGGACUGAGACACGGCCCAGACUCCUACGGGAGGCAGCAGUGGGGAAUAUUGCGCAAUGGGCGAAAGCCUGACGCAGCCACGCCGCGUGGGUGAUGAAGGCCUUCGGGUUGUAAAGCCCUGUCGGGAGGGAAGAAGUUCUGACGGUACCUCCCAAGAAAGCACCGGCUAACUCCGUGCCAGCAGCCGCGGUAAAAC
rnacentral:rRNA from 1 species